rnacentral:rRNA from 1 species
UACAGAGGUCUCAACCGUUGUUCGGAUUCAUUGGGCGUAAAGUGUGCGCAGGCGGCCGAGCAAGUCGAGUGUGAAAGCCCCGAGCUUAACUUGGGAACUGCGCUCGAAACUACUUGGCUAGAGUGUGGCAGAGGGAGGUGGAAUUCCACGUGUAGCGGUGAAAUGCGUAGAGAUGUGGAGGAACACCGAUGGCGAAGGCAGCCUCCUGGGCCAACACCGACGCUCAUGCACGAAAGCGUGGGGAGCAAACAGG